UACAGAGGGGGCAAGCGUUGUUCGGAAUUACUGGGCGUAAAGGGCGCGUAGGCGGCCUUCUAAGUCGAACGUGAAAUCCCCGGGCUCAACCCGGGAACUGCGUCCGAUACUGGAAGGCUUGAAUCCGGGAGAGGGUAUGCGGAAUUCCAGGUGUAGCGGUGAAAUGCGCAGAUAUCAGGAGGAACACCGGUGGCGAAGGCGGGUCUCUGGGCCGAUACUGACGCUGAGGAGCGAAAGCGUGGGGAGCGAACAGG
rnacentral:rRNA from 1 species